AGCGAACGCUGGAGGCACGCCUAACACAUGCAAGUCGAGCGGGCUUAGCAAUACGACAGCGGCAGACGGGUGAGUAACACGUGGGAACGUGCCCUUUGGUUCGGAAUAACUCAGGGAAACUUGAGCUAAUACCGGAUAAGCCCCUCGGGGGACAGCUUUAUUGCCAUGAGAGCGGCACGCGUCGGAUUAGCUAGAUGGUGAGGUCAAGGUAGACCAAGGCGACGAUCCGUAGCUGGUCUGAGAGGAUGACCAGCCUCACUGGGACUGAGACACGACCCAGACUGCUACGGGAGGCAGCAGUGGGGAAUAUUGGACAAUGGGCGCAAGCCUGAUCCAGCCAUGCAGCGUGGAUAAUGAAGGCCUUAGGGUUGUAAAGUCCUUUUAUCGGGGAAGAUAAUGACGGUACCCGUAGAAUAAGCCCCGGCUAACUUCGUGCCAGCAGCCGCCGUAA
rnacentral:rRNA from 1 species